rnacentral:rRNA from 1 species
CUUUCUUUGCUGGCGACCGGCGCACGGGUGAGUAACACGUAUCCAACCUGCCCUUUACUCGGGGAUAGCCUUUCGAAAGAAAGAUUAAUACCCGAUAGCAUAAUGAUUCCGCAUGGUUUCAUUAUUAAAGGAUUCCGGUAAAGGAUGGGGAUGCGUUCCAUUAGGUUGUUGGUGAGGUAACGGCUCGCCAAGCCUUCGAUGGAUAGGGGUUCUGAGAGGAAGGUCCCCCACAUUGGAACUGAGACACGGUCCAA